rnacentral:tRNA from 1 species
GCGGGCGUGGCGAAACUGGCAGACGCACCAGACUUAGGAUCUGGCGCCGCGAGGCAUGUAGGUUCGACUCCUAUCGCCCGCACAA